rnacentral:rRNA from 1 species
AGAGUUUGAUCCUGGCUCAGGAUGAACGCUAGCGGCAGGCUUAACACAUGCAAGUCGAGGGGUAACAGGAGAAGCUUGCUUUUCGCUGACGACCGGCGCACGGGUGCGUAACGCGUAUGAAACUUGCCUUGUACAUGAGGAUAGCCCGAGGAAACUCGGAUUAAUACUCGAUAAUGUUUUAGAUUCGCAUGAAUUUAAAAUUAAAGCUCCGGCGGUACAAGAUGGUCAUGCGUGACAUUAGAUAGUUGGUGAGGUAACGGCUCACCAAGUCAGCGAUGUCUAGGGGUUCUGAGAGGAUUAUCCCCCACACUGGUACUGAGACACGGACCAGACUCCUACGGGAGGCAGCAGUGAGGAAUAUUGGUCAAUGGGCGCAAGCCUGAACCAGCCAUGCCGCGUGCAGGAAGACUGCCCUACGGGUUGUAAACUGCUUUUGUACAGGAAGAACCCCACUACGUGUAGUGGUUUGACGGUACUGUACGAAUAAGGAUCGGCUAACUCCGUGCCAGCAGCCGCGGUAAUACGGAGGAUCCAAGCGUUAUCCGGAUUUAUUGGGUUUAAAGGGUGCGUAGGCGGUUAAUUAAGUCAGUGGUGAAAUCCUGCAGCUCAACUGCGGAACUGCCAUUGAUACUGGUUGACUAGAGUAUGCGUGAAGUUGGCGGAAUGCGACAAGUAGCGGUGAAAUGCAUAGAUAUGUCGCAGAACCCCAAUUGCGAAGGCAGCUGACUAAAGCAUAACUGACGCUGAUGCACGAAAGCGUGGGUAUCGAACAGGAUUAGAUACCCUGGUAGUCCACGCUGUAAACGAUGAUAACUGGUUGUGCGCGAUACACAGUGCGCGACUGAGGGAAACCAUUAAGUUAUCCACCUGGGGAGUACGUUCGCAAGAAUGAAACUCAAAGGAAUUGACGGGGGCCCGCACAAGCGGAGGAACAUGUGGUUUAAUUCGAUGAUACGCGAGGAACCUACCCGGGCUUAAAUGUAGAUUGCAUGAUUCAGAGAUGGAUCUUUCUUUCACGAGACUAUUUACAAGGUGCUGCAUGGUUGUCGUCAGCUCGUGCCGUGAGGUGUCGGGUUAAGUCCCAUAACGAGCGCAACCCCUAUCCUUAGUUGCCAACAGGUCAAGCUGGGAACUCUAAGGAGACUGCCGCCGCAAGGCGCGAGGAAGGUGGGGAUGACGUCAAAUCAGCACGGCCCUUACGUCCGGGGCUACACACGUGUUACAAUGGCAGGUACAGAGGGCAGCUACAUGGCGACAUGAUGCUAAUCUCGAAAGCCUGUCUCAGUUCGGAUCGUAGUCUGCAACCCGACUACGUGAAGUUGGAUUCGCUAGUAAUCGCAUAUCAGCCAUGAUGCGGUGAAUACUUUCCCGGGCCUUGUACACACCGCCCGUCAAACAAUGGAAGCUGGGGGUACCUGAAGUCUGUAACCGCAAGGAGCGGCCUAGGGUAAAACUAGUAACUGGUGUUAAGUCGUAACAAGGUA